GGUCAAGUAGAAAAGGGCGCACGGUGAAUGCCUAGGCACUAAAAGCCGAUGAAGGACGUGACGAACUACGAAAAGCUUCGGGGAGCGGUAAGUACGCAGUGAUCCGGAGAUGUCCGAAUGGGGGAACCCAAUGCAGCGAUGCAUUAUUGGUUGAUGAAUAGAUAGUCAAUCAAAGGAAUACGCAGUGAACUGAAACAUCUAAGUAGCUGCAGGAAGAGAAAGAAAAAUCGAUUUCCUUAGUAGCGGCGAGCGAAGAGGAAAGAGCCCAAACCAAGUGAUUUAUCAUUUGGGGUUGUAGGACUGCGACGUGGCAGCGUGAGCGAUAGCAGAAUUAUCUGGGAAGGUAAGCCAGAGAGGGUGAGAGCCCCGUAAGCGAAAUUGCAAGCGCGCCUAGCAGAAUCCUGAGUAGGCCGGGACACGAGAAAUCCCGGUUGAAACCGCGAGGACCAUCUCGCAAGGCUAAAUACUAAUUAGUGACCGAUAGUGAACCAGUACCGUGAGGGAAAGGUGAAAAGAACCCCGGAAGGGGAGUGAAAGAGAACCUGAAACCGUGUGUCUACAAGUAGUCAAAGCACAUUAAAGUGCAAUGGCGUGCCUUUUGUAGAAUGAACCGGCGAGUUACGUUAUCUAGCGAGGUUAAGUCAGAAAAGACGGAGCCGGAGCGAAAGCGAGUCUGAAUAGGGCGAGAAGUUAGGUGACGUAGACCCGAAACCAAGUGACCUACCCAUGACCAGGCUGAAGGCGUGGUAAAACGCGCUGGAGGGCCGAACCCACGUAAGUUAAAAAUUGCGGGGAUGAGUUGUGGGUAGCGGUGAAAUUCCAAACGAACUUGGAGAUAGCUGGUUCUCUCCGAAAUAGCUUUAGGGCUAGCCUCGUGGAGAGGAUAAUGGAGGUAGAGCUCUGUUUGGACUAGGGGCCCGUCAGGGGUUACUGAAUCCAGAUAAACUGCGAAUUCCAGAUAUCCAUACACGGGAGUCAGACUGCGAGUGAUAAGAUCCGUAGUCGAAAGGGAAACAGCCCAGAUCACCAGUUAAGGUCCCAAAAUCUAUGCUAAGUGGAAAAGGAUGUGGAGUUGCGUAGACAACUAGGACGUUGGCUCAGAAGCAGCCAUCAUUCAAAGAGUGCGUAAUAGCUCACUAGUCGAGUGACGCUGCGCCGAAAAUUUACCGGGGCUAAGCAUAGUACCGAAACUGUGGAUGUACGUAAGUACGUGGUAGGAGAGCGUUCUAAGUGCGGCGAAGGUUAACCGAGAGGAUAAUUGGAGCGCUUAGAAGUGAGAAUGCCGGUAUGAGUAGCGAAAGAUAGGUGAGAAUCCUAUCCGCCGAAAGACUAAGGUUUCCUGGGGCAGGCUCGUCCGCCCAGGGUAAGUCGGGACCUAAGGCAAGGCCGAGAGGCGUAGUCGAUGGAUAACAGGUAGAUAUUCCUGUACUGUGUUCAAUCGUUAAGAGCGAAGGAGGGACGCAGGAGGUGAAGCACGCAUCGCGAUGGAACGAUGUUCAAGCGACAAGUGCGGUUAAGAGUCAAAU
rnacentral:rRNA from 1 species